rnacentral:lncRNA from 1 species
GAGGUCUAGUAUAAGGGUUGUGGGAUAGGGGCCCCUAGAGUUCUUCAUACUCCUCACCCGGGGUUGGGUGAGGCUUGGGAGGGCUAUUCAUAGAUGAUUUAUGUAUUGGAUUUUGUCUUAUGCUAGUUACUGUCUGAUAUUAUUGCAUGCUAUUUUAUUUAUCGUUUUUUUAUUUUAUUUUAGGUUUUUAUGUUUAGAUAAUUAUUUACGCUAUUUAUGUUGAAGUUACUAAUGCUCUUUUGUUAUUUUUGUUUUUGUUGUUCCUUUACUUCACUGAGCCGAGGGUCGAUUGGAAACAGCCUCUCUGCCCUUUCGGAUAGGGGUAAGGUCCGUCUACAUAUUAGCCUCCCUAGACCCCACUUUGUGGGAAUAUACUGAGUAGUUGUUGUUGUUGUUUUCUUUUGUAGAACAAAUUAUAGAAUAUGUGCUUUACACUUUGUUAAUUAUAGCUUUUCGUACAUUGUAGGAACUCGAAG